CCAGGCUAGGGUUUACGUUAACUGGUCUUGGGAGUUGUCAAAAUAGGGGACCAGUUAAGAGAAAGUAAACAGAGUUGUGAUUUAAACCCGGGACAGGGGACAUGUUAAAAAUGGAUUAAAAGCAAGUUGGACGCGGCCAUGACACGAGUUGGGCUGGAACUAACGACCUCUCGGACAUGAAGCGAACGCUCUACUAUAUUGAAUUACCGCAACCGGUCACGCAUUGAGUGGUGUAUCGGUCAAUGGACCUAGAACGGCUUUUUGGGUCGACUUGGUGCAAUCUUGACACAAUCAGAGGUAAUUGGAGACAGAUAAAAGAUAUAACUGCUUCUUAGAACUUGAUAAACAAAAUCGAAUGACUUCUAACCCUGACUUGAUCCAGUAAAAUCAAAUAUUCCCUAAAUACAAAACUUGUAGACAUCUGGAAACUUCCAAUCUCUUUUAAUGAAAGACCCUUAUGCAAGUUUGUUGCCAAACUGUGUACCAACACUCAUGUAAAUACGAAUGCUCUGUCCUCUACCUGCUCAGUGGAAUCCCUAUCAUCGAUGUUUUCGUCCACUCCUGUUCAUCCACCGGAUCCAUUCGUAAUCAGUGGGGGGUAUCAUUACGAACUUCUUUGGUGUACGUCUCUGCUAUGUCAGUUCACAGAGUACGACUUGUACCUAGCUCUGCUUGUUGAUCACACUUCUAUUCCUCUACAGGGGGCGGAUUAUGUCGUCUUUUGUUUGUUGAACUUCGCUGCUGCAGCUGAUAUUGGCGCAACUGGGAGUUAAUCACCUCUAGGAAGGGCAGCUGCUACAAUUACAUACGCCCCCUUUCCUUUCUAAUAUGUACAUAGUUUAUUAUUUGUAUUUUUUUGGGUACUGUUUAGUCCUAAUGUACAUGUAAUAGACUUGUAACGUGUGUGCAUGGUAUGUUCAUUGUCGUAAUCUCCUAAAGAAGGAAAUAAAGUAUGAAUAAAUGAACAACACUUUUAUUAAGGACAUUUUCAUGCAGGGCCUCUCUCGGCAGUAUUGCACUGUUAAGGUAUCCGAUCCAUAAAACCCCCAUUUCCCCCCAAUAAUUAACUGCUAUGUGAUACAAAACUUGGUAUCAAAUGAAAAAUAAUUAACAUACACAGUGAUUCACCAAAAGAAUUUUCAAAAUUGACAAGACAUAUAUAAGAAAUAUCUGUUAUAAAGAUUAACAUUAAUCCCUAUGAGAAAAACACAGUUCUGACAUACAUGUAUUAAGUCAAUUAGAAUAUAAUUUCCAAAGGAACCUCGUGGUGAAAAGAUUCCUAUUACCAUGGUCUUUCAAAAUAUGUGAAGAAAAGUAAAGAUCACCAUACAAAUUAUGAAAAUAUUAAUUUUUUCUACAUUUUUACAAGGGGAGAUAACUGACAAAAUAAUCUAAUUCACUAUAAAUAGAUGUUGCACCAUCUACUCUCUCUCUCUCUCUCUCUCUCUCUCUCUCUCUCUCCCCAUUUUUAUCUGGCUAAAAUCAGGCAUUUGGUUUUCACAAAAGAGUUAGUGCUACAGGUAUUGACUUUUUGUGAAAAUAAAUGCUGUUAUGGAUCGGAUACCUAAUGGAAACAAAAUACAAUAUAGUUAGUUCAGUUGUAAGUACAUGUAUAGCAAUAAAACAAACGUUACAUCCUGUAAAUACAUGUAUAGAAAUAAAACAAACGUUACAUCCUGUAAAUACAUGUAUAGCUACAUCCUGGGAGAAAUUUCUCCUGCGGAGCAAGAUUUGGACGGAGAAAUAACGGCACUUUCAUUUUCCUCUCUAGUGCUCAUACACGUCUUAUUAACUUUAAAUGUAUGAUCCACACCCUUAUGAAAGAAUAAAGAUAUUCCAGAAGAACACGUGGUUUUAGUUUGUGAUGUUGGCGAACAGGAACACUCCCAAAAUUCGCGUAGUUGGUCUGGCUAGCUGGUUCACGACCUCCCGUUCUUGCUUGAAAUAUCUUCCCUACAAUGAAAAUGGUUGGACUUUCUAAAAUUAAGUUUACAAUAGCUUGUUAAAUCAUAUAAAUUUCAUUUUAAGUAUAUGUGUAUUUUUUUUUUUUUUAAAGAAAAAGGCAUCUUUGCUGAUCAAGCUUCCUGAACCGCUUUCAGCUCAUGUGAGCCAAAAAAAAAAAAAAAAACUCAGAGGACCCAAUAUAGAACCCUGAAGGGCUCCGAUGGUAACAGCUUUUAUGCUCUCCAUUUUUAUAAGAAUAUAAAAUACCAUUCGAAGAAACCGGUUUUCUCAUAUCCCGCAACUUUCUUAUUUUUCUUGGCAAUUAACAAUAGAAUACAUAUUGCUCAGACAACCUAAACAAGAAUGACAUUGGAAUCUCCCUAAUUUUUAUAAAUCUUGAUAAAUACAAACACAAUAAAAUAGAAAAAUAAGGUGAAACCUUAACAUUUUGCCUUCAUCCUUUAGAAAUUGCCCCUUUCCAUUUUUAAAACACAUUGUGAUCUUUCAUGUAUAGAUAAAAAUGAAACCAUUUUAAAAGUAUUUUCACGGGUAUAUACAUGUAUACCAAAAACAUACAAGUUUGUGCUUUAAUACAUCAUGGUUGACUGUGUCAAUUAAAUGCUUUGCUUCGAUCAAUAAAAAGUACACCUUCA